ensembl:rRNA 5S_rRNA 5S ribosomal RNA
GCUUACGGCCAUACCACCUUAGGCACGCCCUAUCUCGUCUGAUCUCGGAAGCUAAGCAGGGUCGGGCCUGGUUAGUACUUGGAUGGGUGACCGCCUGGGAAUACCAGGUGCUGUAAGCA